rnacentral:rRNA from 1 species
AGUGAACGCUGGCGGUAGGCCUAACACAUGCAAGUCGAACGGCAGCACAGUAAGAGCUUGCUCUUACGGGUGGCGAGUGGCGGACGGGUGAGGAAUACAUCGGAAUCUACUUUUUCGUGGGGGAUAACGUAGGUAAACUUACGCUAAUACCGCAUACGACCUACGGGUGAAAGCAGUGGAUCUUCGGACCUUUCGCGAUUGAAUGAGCCGAUGUCGGAUUAGCUAGUUGGCGGGGUAAAGGCCCACCAAGGCGAGGAUCCGUAGCUGGUCUGGGAGGAUGAUCGGCCGCAUUGGAACUGAGACACGCUCCAGACUCCUACGGGAGGCAGCAGUGGGGAAUAGUGGACAGUGGGCGCGAGCCUGGUCCAGCCAUACCGCGUGGGUGAAGGAGGCCUUCGGGUUGUAAAGCCCUUUUGUUGGGAAAGAAAAGCAGCAGGUUAAUACCCCGCUGUUCUGACGGUACCCAAAGAAUAAGCACCGGCUAACUUCGUG